rnacentral:rRNA from 1 species
UACAGAGGUCUCAAGCGUUGUUCGGAUUCAUUGGGCGUAAAGGGUGCGUAGGUGGUGGGGUAAGUCGGGUGUGAAAUCUCGGGGCUUAACUCCGAAACUGCAUUCGAUACUGCCGUGCUUGAGGACUGGAGAGGAGACUGGAAUUUACGGUGUAGCGGUGAAAUGCGUAGAUAUCGUAAGGAAGACCAGUGGCGAAGGCGGGUCUCUGGACAGUUCCUGACGCUGAGGAGCGAAAGCGUGGGGAGCGAACAGG